rnacentral:rRNA from 1 species
CUACGGGUUGCUCCAGUGGGGAAUCUUAGACAAUGGGCGCAAGCCUGAUCUAGCCAUGCCGCGUGAGCGAUGAAGGCCUUAGGGUUGUAAAGCUCUUUCAGCGAGGAAGAUAAUGACUGUACUCGCAGAAGAAGCCCCGGCUAACUCCGUGCCAGCAGCCGCGGUAAUACGGAGGGGGCUAGCGUUGUUCGGAAUUACUGGGCGUAAAGCGCACGUAGGCGGAGCAGAAAGUCAGAGGUGAAAUCCCAGGGCUCAACCCUGGAACUGCCUUUGAAACUCCUGAUCUUGAGGUCGAGAGAGGGGAGUGGAAUUCCGAGUGUAGAGGUGAAAUUCGUAGAUAUUCGGAGGAACACCAGUGGCGAAGGCGGCUCACUGGCUCGAUACUGACGCUGAGGUGCGAAAGCGUGGGGAGCAAACAGGAUUAGAUACCCGGGUAGUC